rnacentral:tRNA from 1 species
GAUGAUAUGGCUGAAUUUAGGCGGUAGAUUGUAAAUCUACAUAUGAGAAAGUUCUCUGUUAUCA